CCUACGGGAGGCAGCAGUGGGGAAUAUUGGGCAAUGGGCGCAAGCCUGACCCAGCAAAGCCGCGUGAAGGAAGAAGGCUUUCGGGUUGUAAACUUCUUUUCUCAGGGGCGAAGAAAGUGACGGUAGCUGAGGAAUAAGCAUCGCCUAACUACGUGCAAGCAGCCGCGGUAGUACGUCGGCGGCCGGAGUGAUCAGGAUUUAUUGGGUGUAAAGGGCGUGUUGGGGGGAGCUCAAGUGAGGUGGUAACGCUCAUGGCGCAACCCUGGGCCUGCAUGUGACACUGUGGUUCUUGGGUGCUGGGGAGGCAAGCGGAAUGCCGGGUGUAGCGGUGAAAGGCGUAGAUAUACGGAGGAACACCAGUGGCGAAGGCGGAUUGCUGGACAGUAACUGACGCUGAGGCGCGAAAGCGUGGGGAGCAAACAGGAUUAGAUACCCUUGUAGUC
rnacentral:rRNA from 1 species